rnacentral:lncRNA from 1 species
AUUCGUGUACAUUUGAGAUUGUUUCAUUGUCUAUAAAAUUUUAAAAGUAAUACCUAUCUUGCAUAGUUGUCACAAGAGCUAAACAUAAUAUUGUAGAUAAAGUGCCUAAUACGGCAGACCUCAUCAAAUAAUAUGUAUUAUGACGGCUGUUUUUCUUUUGAUUUUUUUUGUUGUUGUUGUUGUUUUUUUGAGACGGAGUCUCACUCCGUCGCCCAGGCUGGAGUACAGUGGUGCGAUCUUGGCUGACUGCAACCUCCGCCUCCCGGGUUCAAGUGAUUCCCCUGCUUCAGCCUCCCAAGUAGCUGGGAUUACAGGCAUGUGCCACCACACCCGGCUAAUUUUGAAGUUUUAGUAGAGAUGCGGGUUUCACUAUGUUAACCAGGCUAGUCUCAAACUCCUGACCUCACUGAUCCACCCCACUCAGCCUCCCAAAGUGCUGGCAUUACAGGUGUGAGCCACUGCACCCGGCCUGAUUUGGCAUCUUAUAUUACUAUAGUUGUAGAAUGCAGGGGAGACUGAGCUGAAUGUGUAAAUGUUAACAAUGGUAGUAGUAGCUGUCAUAUUAGCAUUAACUGAGCAUCUUCUAUGUGCCAAGCACUGUGCUACAGUGUACAGCCCAGGAUGUAAAACAUCCACAUUGUGAUUAGUCCUGUGAAAUAUGGAUGCCCUACAAAACAAAUGAAGAAUCAUUUCAUAGAAGGGUCCUUUUAUCUGGAUUCUAGUUGCUUGGGGUAGUACUAAACCUGAGGGUGAUUUUGAAAGCAGCCAUUUUAGAAGGCAAAGAAAUGUCCCUGAAGUCUAACAUGUGCUCCUAAAUCUCCGAUUACUGCCUUACCAGAUACCGUGGGAACAAUCAAUUGAGCCACAGGCCAUAUGGGAACCACCUGUGAUCCUGUUUAUUCCUUUUCUUCAAGUCUUUUUAUGGUUAUGACAUAAGCCAUGUUAAAGCCUAAACCAUAACCUAAGCAUGCUGGUUAGCAAUGUUUUCAUUGCAAGGGAUGAAUAUUCAAGGCCACAGUACCUUCCAGGCCCGAAGACUGGGCUAUCAGGGUGGAUUAAGAAAUUGUCAAUUUCAUGCAAAGCAACAUUUCUGAUUUAGUUACUGAAAAUGUGCUUUUCUAUAGAAAGCACAUUACGAGAUAAGUUAGUCUAGCAGGGACUUCGCCUCAGACUGUUUUCUCAGACCUCCAAAGUAAGGUAGGGAACACACCGGAAUAGUUUAAUCCAUCAUUUGUAUUUUUCCAUGUGAUAAUAGAGAAUAUCAUCUUCUCUCAUUUCAUUGUUCUUUCAACCUUACUAACUUCUCUCUUCCUUCCUGUCAGCAUCUAUUAAGUAAGGCUGCAACUUUACUUCUGCCCUUCCUCAUUUACCAAAGGACAAGGGAAUGAAAAAUGGAAGCUCUAAUGGCUUAGUUUACACUCCUGCUAAUUUCAAACAGAUUUCCAGAUUGCACAGCUUUUAAAAUGAAAGAACUUUUCCUCAGAAUGACCCUGUGACAGACAAACGCUAAAGUGACUCCAACGAUCCCUGCUCUGCUGGUAUUCAUAACUUCUUUUUUUUUUUUUUGGCUGGUAUUCAUAACUUCUUUUUUUUUUUUUUUUUUUUUUUUUUGAGACGGAGUCUCACUCUGUCGCCCAGGAUGGAGUGCAGUGGCGUGAUCUUGGCUCACUGCAAGCUCCGCCUCCCGGGUUCACGCCAUUCUCCUGCCUCAGCCUCCCGAGUAGCUGGGACUACAGGCACCCAGUUAUUCAUAACUUUAUGUGACCCCUUUCCCUUGAAUGUGGGUGGGACAUGGAGUACGGGACUUGCUUCUAACAAACAACUAUGUAAGAUUCUAUGUUGGUGGCAGACAGAGAGAUCCUCCUUACUGGCUUAAUGAAGUGGCCACGUGGACCACAGGCAGCCUCUACAACAGCCAGUCAGAAACUCAAGCCCUCAGUGCUACAGCAAUGAUUACUGCCAACAGCCUGAGUGAGACUGGAAGCAGAUUCUCCCCUGACUGAACUUGCAAUUGAGAUAGCAGCCUGGUCAACACCUUGAUUAUAGCCUUGUGAGGCCCAGAGCAGAAGACCCAUCUAAGCCAUGCCUGGACUCCUGACACAGAAACUGAGAGAUAAGAAGUGUGUGUUAAACUGCUAUAUUUACGGAAAUUUGUUAGGCAGCAAUAUAAAACUGAUACCAUCACCAACAUAAUAAUUCAUGAAAAUAAAAAUCAACAUUGACAUCUGAUAAUGCUGGCUAAUUGCAGUAUGCCGAGAAAGGGUGCUAAGAUACACCAACUCUAUGUGCCCCGAGCGUUUCUUUCCCGAUUGUUCAUAAAUAAAAUACAAGUUCUCCCUCUGCUACCAUGACAUGCUAUUUCACAUGCUGGCAUGUAACUGUCUUUGCAAAUGUGCUAAUACUAAAGUAGAUGCUGAGAGGAGCUGUUUUUUUAAUAUGGAAAUAAAAUAUCUUCAUUUCACCCAGUAAGUGGUUUUUUUUCUAGUCCUAUUUUAAAUACACAAUAUUUGCAUGUUUUUUAAAAAUCAGUUUUACAUCAAGGCAGAGCAUCAGUUCGAUCAAGGAUUAAAAGCACAGCACGAGCACUUCUUUUCCUCAUUUGUUGCUUCUGCUGCCCCUCUCCUUGCCCUUGGCCCUGGUCUCCUUGGGGUCUGAUAAGGUCUUGAGGUUUUAUGUAUCACAAUCCCCUUGAUAAAUCCUGUGUCAUUUAUUCUUGAGGAAAAGACAUGGAAGUAUAAUUUUAGACCCAUUCCUAUGGCAAGAAACCCUCAUAAAUCAUUCUGUCUACUCUUCCUUCCACUCCCGAUGUCGCCUAGGCAACUUUACAGGUACACUGUUUCUGCUGUACUGGGCAUCUGGCUCUGCUGAGGAGUGGAGCUGAGCACAUUCUUUCCUCAGUUGUGGUCUGGGAAACUAUACUGGCGCAAACUGUAUUGGUGGGAACAAUGCAGUGUUCAGUCUUCAUGGCACCUUCUCCCUUGCUGGAGGGAGGCCAUCUGUCAACCUUCCCUGAUAUCAUGAAGGACCAUCCAACGCCCAGUCACACACAAACCUUAAUAACCCUCAAGGACAAGUGGAGCAAGAUCUCAGACGAUCUGUUCCCUUUUAGUUACAGGAAACUUGAUAAUGAAGAUCUCCACCCUGGUCAAGAACAGAGGAAAGACCUAAAUGCCAUCUCUCAGCACCCAAUCUAACCCAAACUCUACACUGCCACCUGAGUCAUCUUUCUAACACAUGGGAAUUGAUCUGCUCCAGCUUAAAGAUCACUAACACAAGGCAUGACUAAAACAGAUGAAGAAACUAAUACCUAAAGAUGAGUGAGGUCAGCUAAAAACAAGAAAGAAAUUUAAAGCAUCCUGGGAAGUCAUCAUACCCUUUUUCUCCAAGAAAAUCUAGUUUUGCUUGUUUUUGUGUAUCCCACAACACCUGUGUUUGACUAUCUUUUUCACUUUGGAUUUGGAUUUUGGUGUGAUAUACACAGUUCCAAAAAAUCAAUGGAUAGAAAACUCAAUGGCAUAAAUAAGUGCUUAAAACAAUACUUCAAGAAAUGUUCAACAUUCCACGAGAACAAUAUCCACGUGAGAUGAAAAGAAAAGUCUAAGUUAGUUCCUGAUUCCUGGAAGCUGGGAAAGUCUCAUUCCAGUAACUACUUAAUACCCCCUGUCAGUCUCCUUCAAAGGCUGAAGCCAGCCUCUGACUGAAGCGCAGCCGCAAUGUUUCCUGUCUGGUGCCAGCACAGCUUGCCUGGACUUCUGAAAAUUGCAAGCGCUUGCUCCUUGCUAGUCACCACACUCCCCCUUUCUUAGUUGCAGACUCCCUCUUGCUGUGGUUUACCAGGUGCCCUUAUUGCCCCUCAUGCUUGUGUGCCACUUUGGACUUAAUCUGGCACACUUAACUCCCUUCAUCUACGCCUGAAGCUGGACAAGCUGAAGUGACUGCGUCACUUUCUCAAUUCUGGCUCCUGCCCACCGACCUUGCUCUGCUAGGAGGAAUUAGCUCUGCCUGGCCAGAACCCAAGAAGUGACAAAUCAAACUCGCUCAAUAGGUGGUAAUUAAACUUCUGGCUCUAAAGCCCAGAAUAGGUUGUCAAUGGGAUUUCACAGUGGCUCCCUGACACUAAGCAAGGAUGUAUUUCUACAUCUAGUUUUAAAUCUUAAACUCUAAUAGGAUUCUCAGAAAAGACAGUAAAGACUAAGGCCAAAAAAAGUUGUUUAAAGGGGAAAAUGACAGUAAGUACAAAAGAUAAUCUGGGGAAGACCUGGCAAUUCUGAAAUCAAAACAUCUGUUACUAAGUGGAUCAUGACUGCUUAGUUUCUAGGUGAGCUGAAUAAAAAUACUAACUGAACAAUGAUGUAGGUCGUUGUCAAAUCUAAUCAAUUUCUUGUUUGUUUGUUUGUUUUUUUCCAUCAGUCUAGAAUCUUUAAGUAAGCCAUUCAGAAGAUGUGAUACUAUAGAAUGAUACCAACUGAGGAAUAGAGUGGAGAGGAAGGGCUGAAGAUGACUUCAGAAAAAGGCCUGAGGCGUGACAAAUGUUGAUCUCACUCACUGAUCUAUGCUGUAUUUCUUUUAAGAAUGUAUUAAUAUAAAUGUCCUUUUCUUCCCACAUCCAAUCCCUAUUACUACACCAAAUACUUGUUCCUCUAGGAAAUGUGAAGUUGAAAAAAAUUUCCCCCAUUAAAUGAGAAUUAUUCUGCUUAUGACAUUAGGAUAUAUGCUCUCGCUUUAAAAAUAGGAGGCUGUUGAAUUCAUCAUUUGAGUAUAUUAAAUAGACUGUGGAAGAGUAUUAUCCUCCUGGAAACCUCUUAUCCCUCACUCUUAUACCACGAGGGAUUGCCAGUUAGGUCUAAUGACCAAUAAUAUCCACAGCCAUAGGUAAUCAGAAGAGUUUCUGGUUUCUCUAAAGUGGAAAAUAAAUUGCUGCCAAGGCAAACCAAAUAGCAUAGAGUUUUGUAUGAUCUGCCUCUAAUGCUUCUCUGUGUAAACAUGCUAACUAAUGACAUCUGGAGAACAAGCUAUGUCAUGCAGCUUCCUCAGUGAUAACUUUUUAAACACCUGGUUAGAGAUCUUUAUCCAAGGGUGUAACUGAGUUACCGCACUCCUCAGCCCUAAGCCACCUUGUCAGUUUACCCCAGUGUGCCAUACAAAUAUUACUUUCUAUACAUGCCAUGAUAUGGAAAAGGUUCGGAAGGCCUGAAUUAAUAUUUAUCAAAUAUCUUACUUUGGCAAAGCCCAUAUUUUCAUAUGGUGUCUUUGAAGAAUAAAAACAUGUUUGAGCUGGAAAGAUCCCAGAUAACUUUUUCCCAAAUGGGACUCCUUCAAGUGUAAGUUCCAUAGAAUAUUAAAUGUUAAAUUAAUUGGGAGAAGGAAUUUGAGAAAUACUGGGUUAAAGUUUAAAAGUUUUUUUUUUUAAGUGCAGGAUGUCUAAGACAUUUGGAUAUGCUGAAUGCAGUGUCAUUCUCUAGCAGGAGGGUGUAAUACAAAUUAGUAUUUAUUUAAAGAUGGAGCUUUUAGAAUAUAGUUUGUUUUGUUUUUGUUUUUGUUUUUGUU